rnacentral:rRNA from 1 species
GCGCAGCAGUCGAGAAACCUCCGCAAUACACGAAAGUGUGACGGGGCCAUCCCGAGUGCCGUCCGCUGAGGACGGCUUUUCCCCAGUGUACAUAGCUGGGGGAAUAAGGAGAGGGCAAGCCUGGUGUCAGCCGCCGCGGUAAUACCAGCUCUCCGAGUGGUGGGGACGCUUAUUGGGCCUAAAGCAUCCGUAGCCGGCUGGGCAAGUCCUCCGUUAAAUCCAACGAUUCAAUCGUUGGGCUGCGGGGAUACUGUCCAGCUUGGGGGCGGGAGAGGCCGACGGUAUUCCCGGGGUAGGGUGAAAUCCUAUAAUCCCGGGAGGACCACCAGUGGCGAAGGCUGUCGGCUAGAACGCGCCCGGCGGUGAGGGAUGAAAGCGUGGGGGAGCGAACCGGAUUAGAUACCCCCGUAGU